GCCGUACGCAAUGAGCGCGAAAACGUGAAGCCCACGCUCACAACAAUUUAUAUAUAUAUUUGCAAGUCCUUCUGAAUUUUAUAUUAUUCUGAAUUAUCAAACUAUUAUUCGCAUACAGUUAUACUUUAUAUCCUAGGUAACAAAAGUAGAAGACUAAUACGGGAUUUAGAACGAUCCUGUUCUCUCCACGAGAAAUUUUAAACGUUCUCUCCACGAGAAAUAGUCCAUGGACGGCACAAGCAUCUCAUAUAUACUUCUCCUUGAAGGAUAUGUGGGACCGUGUUAUCUUCUUGAAAGAUGUGUGAGACUGUACAAUCCCAAGAAAGAGAGAAACAGCAUCUGUAACUUAGAAAAAACAACGAGUAGCACGCUACCCACAAGUGGAACCCACGAACUUGCAGUAUCUUUGCAUAGCAUUUCCAUACAUCCCCCAUCCUCUUACGAGAUUAGGGGUUCAGGACUACGCAGUUCCUCCUGGAAAUCUUGAAAUCUGCAAUGGAGAGAAAAGCAAGUCAUUCCAGUAAUCACGUGCUGUUCUGCCUUGUUCUCUAUUCUGUCGCACUUGUUGGGUAGCCAUCCUGUGCCUUUGUUUCGCUGACCGCAAAGCCUCUCUCGCAUACGCUUGGAAUUCUGCUCUAGUCGGUUUAUUGA